rnacentral:misc_RNA from 1 species
GAAAUGCGAUAAGUAAUGUGAAUUGCAGAAUUCAGUGAAUCAUCGAAUCUUUGAACGCACAUUGCGCCCGCCAGUAUUCUGGCGGGCAUGCCUGUUCGAGCGACAUUUCAACCAUCAAGCCCCCGGCUUGUGUUGGGGACCUGCGGCUGCCCGCAGGCCCUGAAAAACAGUGGCGGGCUCGCUGUCACACCGAGCGUAGUAGCAUACAUUCUCGCUCAGGGCGUGCUGCGGGUUCCGGCCGUUAAACGACCUUCAUAACCCAAGGUUGACCUCGGAUCAGGUAGGAAGACCCGCUGAACUUAAGC